GUUUCAUCAGUGUAAUGGUUAGCACUCUGGAUUCUGAAUCCUGCGAUCCGAGUUGAAAAAUCUCGGUUUAACCU